rnacentral:rRNA from 1 species
UCGGGAAUUUUGGACAAUGGGCGCAAGCCUGAUCCAGCCAUGCCGCGUGCGGGAAGAAGGCCUUCGGGUUGUAAACCGCUUUUGUCAGGGAAGAAACGCUCUGGGCUAAUACCCUGGGGUAAUGACGGUACCUGAAGAAUAAGCACCGGCUAACUACGUGCCAGCAGCCGCGGUAAUACGUAGGGUGCAAGCGUUAAUCGGAAUUACUGGGCGUAAAGCGUGCGCAGGCGGUUAUGCAAGACAGAUGUGAAAUCCCCGGGCUCAACCUGGGAACUGCAUUUGUGACUGUAUAGCUAGAGUACGGUAGAGGGGGAUGGAAUUCCGCGUGUAGCAGUGAAAUGCGUAGAUAUGCGGAGGAACACCGAUGGCGAAGGCAAUCCCCUGGACCUGUACUGACGCUCAUGCACGAAAGCGUGGGGAGCAAACAGGAUUAGAUACCCCGGUAGUCCCUGAGCGGGCUGGCAAGGCGCAU